rnacentral:siRNA from 1 species
CCUUUCAAGCCAGUAUGCUGC